rnacentral:lncRNA from 1 species
AGUCUGGAGGCGCACCGGAGCGGCCGGGGCGUCCCCCGCGGGAGCCCGCAGCCACCCGGGACGCGCAUCCAGACGUGGCGCUUCGGACCGGGCACGCUGCGCCCGGGGGCUCGGCGGACCCCGCGUAGCCGCCGCUUCGGAGCUUGUGCGGCGCGGGCUGGCCAGCGGGGCGGCCAGGGCCCGGCCCGCCUCCCCAGCGCCCGCCCGGCUUCUCCCCCUGGCGGUGGGAGCCUCGGCGGCCGCUGGCGACACUAGGCGCACUGAAGCCCGAGCCGAGCCGAGCCCGAGCCGCCGCCGCCGCCGCCGCUGCUGCGCACCGCUCCCGGGCUCCCUCCCAGCGCGCCGGCCGGGGUGUGGGGGGCGGCGGGCCGGAGGGGCGAGGGCGGGCCAGGGGGCGCACACGGGGGUUGGCGCGGAAGACAGGACCCUCAGCCUCGAGGGAGCCCCUAGGUGACCAGGCAAAAUGGCAGUUCCUUCCAGCUGGUCCUCAGAUGGGCACAUCUAUUAGCCUCUGCUCUUGUAAGAAGUUAGCUGCAGAACCCACAUGUGAAUCCUUGUAGGACUCUGGAGAAGAUCAAAUGGGAGCUUAGAUGUGGAAGCUCUUUGGAAACCAAGAAACACUCUGAAAAUGAAAAGGGUGGAAGAGUAAACUGUUCCUGUUUCUCCAUCUUGACAGGAAGCAGAAGUUCUCCUUAGCUGAUUUUUCUUCUUGCCUUAUACUGGGUUCUUUAACACCAGAACAAAAAUAAAUAAAUAAAA